GGGGAAGUAGCUCAAUUGGUAGAGCACAUAUAUUCGAUCAUUCUUGGAAUUUGAUAGAAUUGUUUCUUGUUGAAACAAAGAUCGAGGUUCGAUUCCUCGCUUCUCCA
rfam:Daucus carota subsp. sativus cultivar DH1 chromosome 8, whole genome shotgun sequence.